GGACAAACACAGGGUCCACAUACUUUUUCCUGCGACUGUAUCCUUGAUCACAUUGUGGUGACCCACAAGUAAGACAAAAAGAGACAUUCACCAAGGGACUGUACCUUUAAGGGAGAGAGGUUGGUAAGAGAGUUCCGGGUUCACGGGUUAGUGUUUUGAUCUCGUACACUGUACAGUGUUAUAUUGAAGUGGAGAGUAAAGCUGACUCGACGCACAACUGUCUCUUGUCUCCUCACUAAUUACACUCCGCAACAUAUUCCUUUUCAUUCAGAAAUAAGUCACAUUGCACAGGAUGAAGAUGCUUAAAGGCACGGUAGGUAAGUUUGAGAUACUAGCAACAAACUGCUGGAUUUUUGAAAGUAUCCAACAGAGAAACUCCCACCCCCUCCCUUUUGGGCUCCUUUCAAAGCCACGCCCCCAAAACAAGUGAACACUGCAGGAGGACAAGCACAGUGUGACAAGCAGAAAGCAGCAUGGUGCAGCGGCUCACAUCAGGGAGCUUCCACGGUGACAGCAUUAUUGUUUCCGAUGAGAACUGCACUUCAGAGCCAAGCACAGACCGGGACAGGACCAGGACCAGCCUGGGGUCAAGGCGAAGCAAGGAGGACGAGGUGCAAGCCGAGCAGCACAUAUUCUAUGACCUGCGUCAAGCUUCACACUCCAACGGCAUAUGAACAGACCAGAAUCUGAGGACAACAUCAAGACUACAGUGUUUCCAUGCACCACACAUGGUUGAUCUUCCAGACCCAGGACAGAGUAACAGACAGUUCAGUCAGCAUACAGACAGUUUACAGUGUGGAGCACUUACUUAAUACUGAGUUGCUGUUUCUGGGAGAUAUGCAACUGUUCACCUGAUCCACCAGGACAAUACAGAGGUUUAAUCCUAGCAGGGUGUAAGAUGUAAUGUCACUAACUGCUACACAAAUAAUUCCCUCCACUGUGUGGAUGAAUACUGUACUUUGUUAGUUUUAUUCCCAGGAGUAUAGAGAAAAAAAAGUAAGUAAGUAGUAUAUUUUUCCCUGUUCU